rnacentral:rRNA from 1 species
AUACGUAGGUGGCAAGCGUUAUCCGGAAUUAUUGGGCGUAAAGAGGGAGCAGGCGGCAGCAAGGGUCUGUGGUGAAAGCCUGAAGCUUAACUUCAGUAAGCCAUAGAAACCAGGCAGCUAGAGUGCAGGAGAGGAUCGUGGAAUUCCAUGUGUAGCGGUGAAAUGCGUAGAUAUAUGGAGGAACACCAGUGGCGAAGGCGACGAUCUGGCCUGCAACUGACGCUCAGUCCCGAAAGCGUGGGGAGCAAAUAGGAUUAGAUACCCUAGUAGUCCACGCCGUAAACGAUGAGUACUAAGUGUUGGAUGUCAAAGUUCAGUGCUGCAGUUAACGCAAUAAGUACUCCGCCUGAGGAGUACGUUCGCAAGAAUGAAACUCAAAUGAAUUGACGGGG